GGUUUGUGCAGUGUUCCACAUGAUUCUUGGCUGAAUGUCCUUUUUGAGAUCCUGCAGCUGUUAACCCUGUGUGGGAGAAUGCCUUAUCCAGGUGUAGUCUUGUGCACACCUCUCCAGACCCAUAGCAGUGGUUUGGUUACAGAGCUGUGAUUAUAUGGACAUUCUCUACACCUGGUACACAGCAGUUCAGACAUACAGCCCCAUUGGAAUGUGCUGAUAGAGAUAUACUUUUAAUUAUUCGGCUUCAUUAUAUUAUGAUUGGAUUUGAUGAUUCAUGUAUGGCCCUUCUUGAAAAAGAUCCUGGUUUUUGGAUCGAAACGUCGAGACCU